ACAUUUCCUAGAAAAAGGCAAAUUACACUAAUAACUAGUAGAGGAAAAAGGGGGAAAAGAAAGGAAAGGAAAAUAUAGAAGUAUAGAAGAGAGUUUGACGUACUGAGAAGAGAAGAGAGGAAAUCCAUAUGAUUCAACGCUGCUAAGGAGAUUUGUUUGAGUUCUUAGAAAUUGAUCUCAUUUUUUCCUUAAACCUCUCCCCCUCUCUGUCUCUUCUCAAUUCUCAUAUUUAUGACCCUAAUUUUCUCAGAAUUGAUCCAGUUUUGAGGUGAAUUGCCAUUUCCAUAAUUCAGAAGAAUUUCUGAGUUUUUGAAGUUCUAAAACCCCUUCAGGUGUAAGGUUUUAAUUGACUGGAGCUGGGCUAAUCG